GGAGAACAGAACUAAAAUUAAAAUAUGAAAGAAUAAAUAUGCAAUAAACAUUGUAUAAGUGGAAAGCCAGCCACUUUAAAAAGAUAUUCCAAACCAAAACAUGGGUUACCAAAGCAGGCAAUAAAAAGAAAAGGUGAUCUAGAAUGCAAUAAAAGAGCUGAUGAAAGAAGUAAAUGUAAAGAAAAUAAUGCCGAGACUUCUCUCGACCAUGAACAAACACCAGAUAUUUUAUAUAUGUAGAAAAAGGAAAAACUGCUGGAACUUUAAUUUAAAGGCUUUUGACUAGUGAAGAUUUGGAUAAACAACGGGAGUUACUUUGGGCUAUAGCUACGUGCAAAUUUAUUUUCUUGUGGCUUCCUAUGUUUAU